UCAACGCCGGAAAACUCACCGGAGGCGACGGUCACAUGAAGGCCAGGCUGACGACCUUGCCUGAUUCUCCGAGAGGUGGUGCAUGGCCGCCGUCAGUUCGUACCGUAAGGCGUUCUGUUAAGUCAGACAACGAACAAGACCCUCAUCUUUAGUUGCAACUGGUAAGUCCGCUUAUCAGGCACAUUAAAGAAACCGCUGGCGCUAAGUCAGAGGAAGGUGAGGGCAACGGUAGGUCAGUAUGCCCUGAAUCCUCCGGGCUACACGCGCGCUACAAAGGAUAGGACAAUGGGUCCCGACACCGAAAGGUGAAGGUAAUCUCGAAACCUAUUCAUAGUUCGGAUCGAGGGUUGUAACUCACCCUCGUGAAGCUGGAAUCCGUAGUAAUCGCGGAUCAACAUCCCGCGGUGAAUAUGCCCCUGCUCCUUGCACACACCGCCCGUCAAGCCAUGCGAGUUGGGUCUGAGUGAGGAUGUAGUUCUUGCUAUGUUCAAACUUAGGCUUAGUAAGCGGGGCUAAGUCGUAACAAGGUAUCCGUAG
rnacentral:rRNA from 1 species